GAAUUACAUGCCCUUCAGUGGGGAAUAGCCCAGGGAAACUUGGAUUAAUACCCCAUGGUAUCGCGAGAUUAAAGGUGGCCGCAAGGCUGUCGCUGAAGGAUUGGUUCGCGCCCUAUCAGCUUGUUGGUGAGGUAACGGCUCACCAAGGCUACGACGGGUACCUGGUCUGAGAGGACGAUCAGGCACACUGGAACUGAGACACGGUCCAGACACCUACGGGUGGCAGCAGUCGAGAAUAAUUCACAAUGGGGGCAACCCUGAUGGUGCAACGCCGCGUGGAGGAUGAAGGUCUUCGGAUUGUAAACUCCUGUCAUCUGGGAGUAAGACCUGGCUGUGAAUAGCAGACAGGGUUGAUAGUACCAGAAGAGGAAGGGACGGCUAACUUCGUGCCAGCAGCCGCGGUAAUACGAAGGUCCCGAGCGUUGUUCGGAAUCACUGGGCGUAAAGGGAGCGUAGGCGGCGUGGUAAGUCAGAUGUGAAAUCCCGGGGCUCAACCCCGGAACUGCAUCCGAUACUGCCGUGCUAGAGGAUUGGAGAGGUAGCUGGAAUUCUUGGU
rnacentral:rRNA from 1 species